CCGGUGACCUACCUGUCUCUCCCCCGGGGGCUCUGUCACCGGCAGCAGCCGCUGCAUCGGUCGCCGACAUGGCUGGAGCCGGUACGCCGGGGCCCAGCACUCGGAUGCAUGUGGAGGAGUAGGCGUCGGAAGAAGCAGCGUCAAGCAUGAAAACAGCACCCCCGGUACGCGAUAUAAUCAGGACGCAGAGGUUGGAAGAUACGGAGGGGGAGGGGAGGGGAGGGGGGAACACGGAAGCAGACGCUCGUGACUCCUCCCACCGCAGCCAGAGCCCGCCUCCCUCGCGCUCCAUUCCCUCACGUUCCUAAAUCAGCAAGUCACGCGAUAUGUUACGCAAGCGGAGAAAAAUGCGGUCACGGAUUCAAUAGCGGUAUGCAGAGGGAACCGGGUUAGUGGCACGAAAGUUUGCAGUGUCGGUCUAUGUCUGUAGUCAACUGUCAUGGCUUUAUCUCGAUCGUUUACUUGCUUUUUAACUGCAUAUUUAUUAUUAGACUUAUUAUUAUUAUUAUUAUUAUUAUUAUUAUUAUUAGUAGUAGUAGUAGUAGUAGUAGUAGUAGUAGUAGUGUUGUCCAAAGGUCUGAGACCAUUAGUAAAUGUUUCUAUUUUGCAUUCUUUGCUUAUCUAAUACAAACAUUUUCAUUAGAAAUUAUAUUAUUUACAAAAACUUGAUUGAAAAGUAGAAUAUUUGAAAUAUUUACCUGAAUUUCCGAGUUUCUUAGUAUUUGGUUUGUCCCCUUUUUGCUUUAAUGACUGUGCACUCGAGCUGGCGUGGACCCUGGCAUGGACUCUGGUAUGGACAUGUGCAAAACCUUAUGAUCCAUUUUAGAUCAAAUACAUUGAAGUGUCGUCUGAUCACAUGCUUCAUUAGAAGAAAUUAGACAUUAGGAAUUAGGCAUAAAGAAAAUCUGAUCAUUUGUACAAAGCAGUUAAUAUGGUCAGUAUCACAAAAAUUUGCUUGCAUUGAAAUAGGGACCUUUUUAACCCUUGUGCGUCAAUUAAAAAAGUUACACAUAGGUCCAUAGAGGACCAAAAUGUCCAUGUCCAAAAACUGUCAUAAAAUAUUAUAUAUUAAUAUUUUUUUUCCACUUCCACUGACAUCAGUUUUUUUUUUUACCAGCUUCAGUUCUGAUCAUAAUUCAUUACAAUAAACAUUCAUUCAUUUUCAGAAUUGUAACCCUUUAAAUGCUGCUUGUUUACAUUAUGCCACAGAUGUUUUUUUUAUGAAAAAAUAAAACAUAAAUUAUUUUCCAUAUACUAAAUGCUAAGCAGAUUUUUUUUUCUUUGAUUAUUACAGUCUUUGAUAUGUCAAUGAUUAACAACAACAUUAAUUUUGAGGUUCAUAUUUUUUAUACAGUGUCAGAAUUAAAAACAAAAAAACAAAACUACUACUCAGGUCCUUGUCAAAAAACUGUCAUAGAAAUAUGAUAUAUUAUUUUUUUUUUUUUUUUUCCAAUUUCACUGACUUUAGUUUUUUUUUACCAGCAUCAGUUCUGAUCAUAACUACCCAAACAUUCAUUCAUUUUCAGAAUUUUAACCCUUUAAAAUGCUGAGUUGAGCCUUUUGGGUCAUUUAAUUGGGUUAUUUUCUGACUUGGAUAGUUUUUGGGUAGUUUUGUGUAACCCAAAUGCUGGGUUAGUGGCUGGGUCAUUUUCAAUGACAGGUGAAUCAAUGCCCCAAACCUGACACCUCAGCCCAGCUCCUUUGGUCAAAUCAACUCAGCACAGACUGUUUGAAUUCACCUCAGGUGGAGGUAGCGGUUUUCACAUGGACGGUGUUAAUAUCCUACAUUUUAUGUUAUUACUAUUUGAGCACGUGUUAAAUUAUCCUAUAAAUGCGUUAAAAUAAAAUAAAAAUUUCACACGAGUGCCCAACACAACAUGUGUUAAAUUACUGAUAGUUAGGCAGGGAGCUCUCGAAAAUGUAUUCAUUGUAAAACAGUAACUCAAAAAGUGAUAAUUAACUUUACCUAUCGCCACAGCUUCAACAAUGAAUAUCAUGUACUGCUUCCUCAUUGUUGGCGUUACACUACUACUGUCAGUUGUUUACGUUGGCUGUGAAAUAUGGACCGAGGUUACUAUAUAAUUCUCUGGGUCUGCAUCUUAUCUGAGGCUCCGAGUUAGGGUUAGCUAGCUGGAUUCUGUAACCAAUCACAGUAAGGAUGAGUGAUGCUAACCUAGACGCUCACCUGAGUUAAAAACAUUACUUUACAGCUCGCGGUAAUGUUAGACAUUACCAUUACCCUUUUGAGAGUUAACGAUAAUAUAGCAUUACAUCUAUUCACCAUGAUGUAAUACAGAGAAUGGGUUAACGUUAACUACAUUUAGCAAUUCUUUUGGACAAAGCAAGCUGUAGUAAUUAGCAUUAGGAAGACAGGUUAGUGUCGUGUUUCUUCAUGUAUUCGGCAAAUGUUAAUGCUGGUUAACAGGUGCAGACAGUCAGUGGCUAACGGAACUUAGCUAGUGCAGUAAUGUCGAGGCCAAAAGUUCUUUACAAGGUUAGCGUGACAAAAAUAAAGGUUGGGUUUAGGUUGUAAUGCUUUCCAUUAUCUCUGUAAUGUUGGUUCAUGUAAUUAGGUUGUGCAAAAAAAUUGAUGGUGAGGUGCUAAAGGCAGGAAAAUAAA